ACUAGGACGAGUUGUUGAAACUACAGAAGGGUCAGAUGGCUUAGUUCGUCGGGUAAAGGUACAAGUUGGGGAGCGGAAACUAACACAGAAACAGAACCACCGAUGUAAGCCCUCAAUCAUCGAAAGGCCGAUCCAAAAGCUGGUGCUCCUCCUUGAAAACAAUUAACGGUCUGUCAAGCUUAAGUACACUUACAUCAGACAUGUUGGUUUAAUAGUUUUAUUUAAGGUGACCCUAUUUUUCUUUGUGAUUUAUAGCUCUAUACUUCAGUUAUACGGCAGUUAUACAAAUCUAGAAAUCAUGUAUGAGUAACUGUUUUGUUUUCCAUGCUGAGUUCAUUUAUCAUAACAUGAUUGGUGGGAGUGUAAGUGGCCACUGGAGGCCGCUAGAGGUAGUGCAUUCUCAGUCAGGUAAUUCAUGUGACUGGGUUUGAGGCUGUGAGCCCAGGAACCUGUAUAAACUGAUCAUUCGAUUUGCACAUGCCUGACUUCUCUCAUCUCAGAAUAUCAGGGAAAUGUAAGUUGACUCAGGUUGUGAAAUCCUGGUGCUGUUCACUUUACAAUAUUAAUUAGUUGAUGUAUUUUCGUUUUUCAUGGUGUUUUUGGUGAAGUUUGCUUUGUCUUAUAUCCACACAUUUGUGUGCUGUUUUAGUUCAGAGACCUUCAAGCUAGCGGCUAAUUCUGAAAAGCAGCAAAUCUAAAAUUUGCACCCUUGGUGAGCGGAGCGAGGUGUGUAUCAUUUGGCUCCAUGUAUAAAAGGCGUCAAAGAUGUAAAAUGUCUAUUUUGACUGUUAUUGGAAAUUGUUUUGUUGUUUAUCUUGUACCAGGAAAGUGUAUGUGUUAAGUGAGCAAAUUAUUGUCUUUGGUUGUUAUUUUUAAAUAACUUUAAAGGUCAUUUGAUUUGCAUUGCACAUGUACAAAUGCUUCUUGAUGCUGUAAAUGAGGUGAGGAUUUUUCUUGUGAAUUUGUGUCCAAAGGUUCAUUAACCAGCUAUUUGUGUUUACUUUUAGUUUUCACGGUGCUCACGCUGAUUUUGGAAGAAUAAAAAAUGAUUGCACCCGUUAGAGACUCUCUGCCAUUAUUAAGGAGCCAAGGGCCGCAACACUCACACUGGCACACACACACUCAGUGUUACUCGCUCACUCGCACACACACUCACACAUACACUCACUGUCACUCGCAUACUCUCGCUCACUCACUCUUGACGGAACCGUCAUGGAGGACCAAAAAAAAUUAAACAUGCUAGUCUUUUUGGCAUGAUGUCAUGAAGUAUGUAGGUUGUCGCCCACUAUGACACACUAUACAAGAUGAAACGAUCGAAUCUUGCGUCCCGACGCCCAUUGACGUUUACCACGACACCCUACAUCGUGCUAAAAUCUUGUAAUCUGAACCAGGCAUUAAGGCGGGCAUACACUGCACCCAUCAUGAGAUGAGCCAGUGGCUCAAAUAUAAUUGCUAUAGAUUUGGAAGGGACUCUGUAUCAUUAACACUUUCAUGUCUUUUUUUUUUAGACUCUGAAUGUGGAGGUGCAAACAGUGUUCUGAAAGUGAAUCUACAAGGGAAAACGUGGAGGUGUUUGGUCGCUUCUAACUUCAUCUCUGUUUGGAUCCUAAUGAAUGAACUGGACUAUCAAAGUGUCGCUGCGCGCCAGAGCGAUUGAGCGCAUGCACUGAGACGAGAGAGGCUAUUGAGGAUAUUGGUAUUGAUGCAAUGACGGAAAUGGAGAGACUGGCUUUGGGUCUCUACAUUGUUCGACAUGAUGGAGCAGAUGCUACAGAUCCACCUGAGGAUGUUGGCGUCGUCAUUGAAGGCUGCACAGUGCUGCGAGAUCUGAGAGAGGUCACAAAUGGAUGUGCAGUCCUGUUUGGCUUGAUCUACUGUUUAAAUUUGAGCUAUCCCAAGGAGCUGCGAUACACUUUCAAAUUACUUCAGAAAGUGUUAAUGGAAUUGGAUGGGAACAAGCUCUCCACUAAAGUGCAGGUCCUCAAAAACACACAAAUGCAGGUCCACAAACUGCAUGAGUAAAAUCACCUGCACCAGACAAGACUGGACUUGGCGUUGGACUUUUAAAAGUCCAAAUAAAGCUGUGAUCAAUGAAUGUUUGUAAUAAGCAGACAAGACUGUAGUUGGUCAUCGACUUGCUUGGGGAGGCUCAGUUCUUUGGAUUUUGGACUGCUGCUAGACAAAACAUCUAGCAAUCUAAACACAGAAUGUUGGUUGUGGUAAUUGGCAUUUAAACUUCACUUGUUUUCUGAUUUCUAAUUAGAUCAAAACAUUAAAUACAACGUACACUGGUUUGUUAUUAUAAUGAAGCCAUCUCAAACAAUUUAAGGUGAAGAUUGUUUUUGGUUACAUAAACAGGCAUUUAUUAGAUUGCUGAUUUUCUUUUACUCCUGUUGAUGCAAACUGUAAACCUUUUAUUUUUCAUGAAAACGUUCUCUAAGUCAGCAUGUAUGUAAAGUCUGAACUUAGUAUGUUCUAACGGUGAAGUGAGAAUUUUCUGCAGCAUAAAUCCUCUUGCUUGUAAACUUCAGUUAAUUUAACCUCCCUCCAUAUAGAAAACAAUAAGGAUUUGCCUCUUUUGUUUUUAUUUCGGCAGGCAACACCUGUUAGACAUUCUUGAUGUCAAAGUUCAGAUUUAUUUUUGGGACUAUAAAGCUAUAAUGGGAUUGAACAUUAUCAGAUGGUGAAAGAUUCACAGACAAGUUUUAUAUUUUUGAAUUUUUAUUUAUAUUGGUCUGUUUGCAUUUUAUACGUGCAUGGAUUUAUGUUGGUGUCUUCAAUUUUAUUUGUACACUUUGUAUUUGUAUGUAAUUUUUUACAUAUUUUUCAUAAUUGUGUCAGUCAUGAUAGUCCCAGAUUUAGUAAUGCACAUUGAAGGUCAAAAUUACUUUUUGACUAAUUAUAUUUCAAAACCA